GUCUUGAAUUGCAGGGAGAGUUGGGACAAUGCAUAAAAGCUGAAAGACCCAACAAGAUCAGAUAAUGCAAAGACAGUGUUGCAGUGCAGGGGCAAUGAGUGAGCCAAAACCUCAGGAGAGAAAGGGGAGCAGAGAGGAAGAGGUGGUGCUGCCGAGGGGCCGUGAACUAGCUCAGUUCCUGGAGCACUGGGUCCUGGAUGAGUCCUCAGGGGCUAAACCACAUCCUGUGAGGCGUGGUCGAGACUCCAGCCUUCCAAUCCCCGCAAGUUGCUUUACAACAACUCCCAUGGCUCAGGUUAACCUGAGAGUUUCCGCUCUUUCAACCAAACUGAGGCUAGCUCAGCCUUCACCUUUAACCUCCGGGUACAUGCUAAGAAUCGGAAGAGGCGAAUGGAGAGGACGAGUAUGGACAUCCCUCCAUGAACCCCCAGGCCUGACGCUGGCCCAAGGAGGCCCCGAGAAAGAGCCCGGCCCAGUUCCUGCUACACCAGAACCCCAGCCUCACAAAUUAGAUGCCCAGUUGCAAGCAUAUAUUCCACCUCUCCCCAAGUCGACCCCAACUCCUCUCCCUCAGUGUCACUCCACAUGCCUGUUGAUCCCGCCAACCUGGACAUCUACGCAUUUCCAGGCUCUGCCGUGCUCGCCCAUGCUACCUUCUUGACUUUGCUCAAGCUGUCCCCCUGCCAAGAACAUUCUCCUCCUAGCCGUCCAACUCCUCUGUGUCCUUCAAAAGGCCCAACUCAAACAUCAACACCUCCUCCGGGGGCCUUCUCCAGCUCCCCAGGCUCAGUGAACUACCCCCACGAGCUCUCGCAGUACAUUGUGCAUUCCUUGACUGGAACAUUCAGACCAUUACAUGGCAAUGUCAUGUACCCUGCCAUUUUGUGAGCUCCUUAUGGUUGGUUGCUGUGUUUAAUUCAUCUUUGUAAUCCCAGAAUUGUGCCAGAGUCCCAAUAGACACUUAAUAAGUGUGUGGUUAGUCAUGGGUGGGUAGAUGCAUGGAUGAAGGGAUGGAAGGAU
rnacentral:lncRNA from 1 species